CAACGUCUUUUUAUUUUAAAAAGACAAAAUAGCAGCUCUCGGUAGUAACACCGAGAAGCAAACGGAGUGAAUUGUCAGGAAACCUGUCCCCGACUUAUGUCGGGGUGGUAAUCUGCAGCCAAGUCUCAAUGUUUUUUGUGUGAUCCAUGCUUUGCGCGCUAUAUUGAGGAAGGUUCAGAGACUAUCCCUUUCACGGGAGUACUCUUCGAUAAAGUCUCGGGUUUAUCCCGAGUGAGUCCCGACGAAGUCGGGACGAAUCGAGGGGGAAGCGCUUCGCACCCCACCGUUUUCGGCAUGACCGAAUCUAUGACGAGGGUGAUGAUAUAGUCCACGCUUUAAUGAAAAUUAGGG
rnacentral:ncRNA from 1 species